CCUUCGGGCCUCUUGCCAUCAGAUGUGCCCAGAUGGGAUUAGCUAGUUGGUGAGGUAACGGCUCACCAAGGCGACGAUCCCUAGCUGGUCUGAGAGGAUGACCAGCCACACUGGAACUGAGACACGGUCCAGACUCCUACGGGAGGCAGCAGUGGGGAAUAUUGCACAAUGGGCGCAAGCCUGAUGCAGCCAUGCCGCGUGUAUGAAGAAGGCCUUCGGGUUGUAAAGUACUUUCAGCGGGGAGGAAGGUGUUGUGGUUAAUAACCGCAGCAAUUGACGUUACCCGCAGAAGAAGCACCGGCUAACUCCGUGCCAGCAGCCGCGGUAAUACGGAGGGUGCAAGCGUUAAUCGGAAUUACUGGGCGUAAAGCGCACGCAGGCGGUCUGUCAAGUCGGAUGUGAAAUCCCCGGGCUCAACCUGGGAACUGCAUUCGAAACUGGCAGGCUUGAGUCUUGUAGAGGGGGGUAGAAUUCCAGGUGUAGCGGUGAAAUGCGUAGAGAUCUGGAGGAAUACCGGUGGCGAAGGCGGCCCCCUGGACAAAGACUGACGCUCAGGUGCGAAAGCGUGGGGAGCAAACAGGAUUAGAUACCCUGGUAGUCCACGCCGUAAACGAUGUCUACUUGGAGGUUGUGCCCUUGAGGCGUGGCUUCCGGAGCUAACGCGUUAAGUAGACCGCCUGGGGAGUACGGCCGCAAGGUUAAAACUCAAAUGAAUUGACGGGGGCCCGCACAAGCGGUGGAGCAUGUGGUUUAAUUCGAUGCAACGCGAAGAACCUUACCUGGUCUUGACAUCCACAGAACUUUCCAGAGAUGGAUUGGUGCCUUCGGGAACUGUGAGACAGGUGCUGCAUGGCUGUCGUCAGCUCGUGUUGUGAAAUGUUGGGUUAAGUCCCGCAACGAGCGCAACCCUUAUCCUUUGUUGCCAGCGGUUAGGCCGGGAACUCAAAGGAGACUGCCAGUGAUAAACUGGAGGAAGGUGGGG
rnacentral:rRNA from 1 species